rnacentral:rRNA from 1 species
UGGGGAAUUUUGGACAAUGGGCGAAAGCCUGAUCCAGCAAUGCCGCGUGUGUGAAGAAGGCCUUCGGGUUGUAAAGCACUUUUGUCCGGAAAGAAAUCCUUGGCUCUAAUACAGUCGGGGGAUGACGGUACCGGAAGAAUAAGCACCGGCUAACUACGUGCCAGCAGCCGCGGUAAUACGUAGGGUGCAAGCGUUAAUCGGAAUUACUGGGCGUAAAGCGUGCGCAGGCGGUUUGCUAAGACCGAUGUGAAAUCCCCGGGCUCAACCUGGGAACUGCAUUGGUGACUGGCAGGCUAGAGUAUGGCAGAGGGGGGUAGAAUUCCACGUGUAGCAGUGAAAUGCGUAGAGAUGUGGAGGAAUACCGAUGGCGAAGGCAGCCCCCCUGGGGCCAAUACUGACGCUCAUGCACGAAAGCGUGGGGAGCAAACAGGAUUAGAUACCCUGGUAGUCCACGCCCUAAACGAUGUCAACUAGUUGUUGGGGAUUCAUUUCCUUAGUAACGUAGCUAACGCGUGAAGUUGACCG